rnacentral:autocatalytically_spliced_intron from 1 species
CAGUUGGUGAAAAUCCAACUUAGGCAAAGUCUAGCCAACAGCCUAGAACAGACCAUUAUGCUGCGUGAGGUAACGAGCGUAGUAAAGCUAAUGGAAUGGACAAUAUAGGGUGCAAUGAAA